AGUGCAGGUGUUAAGAUAAAAGGAGCAAAGCCCAUCACUGCCAUUCUGUUGGCUGCCUCGAAGAACCAUGUGACAGUUGAGAGCUGUCUGCGAGGUAGUGAGCAUUGGAAUCUCUGAGAAAUAAAGAGAACACAGGGGAGCGGCUGAGGAGCUCAGAAAGCGCAGCCAGGCAACUGUGGCUGCCAAGUGGAUACUGAUCAAGAUAAAUAGACUUCAAUUUACUUGAAUUAUUCUCGCACAGCUGAACAGUACAUCUCCGACAGACCUUUUCCCGUUCCUUUCUCUUAGUGAAAAUCAAAUUUUCCUGCCAGCGUCACCACUUGCUCUGGAUCAGCCAUCUUACCUUCUAAAUUGGUUCGAUUGAGGGAUUAUAACAGCUGAAAUGGAGCCAAAGUCUUCCUCCCCGCAGAAGCAUACUGUGAAGAAUCGUUCUAAAUCCACUGAAGAAGUUCAGCAAGCAAAGAAGGCAUUUCAUACACCACAGAAGUCCCUUCCAAAUACAGGAGAAGAAGCCAAUCUACAAGAGUCUGCUGAUACUACAGAAGAAGCUUCAUUGAAGGAGGGGACAUGUGAAAAUCAGGCACAGCAUUAGUACUAUGGAAUAUUCAGUCUCCAACUGUAUCCAAAAGCAAGUUUUAGGAUUGUUCCAUAUAAUUUGUGUUUUACCUCGGAGUGUAGGGACCCCCCCCCCGACCCAUCUUUCUAUGAUUUGGCCAACUGCAAAUUCUUCUCAAAAGAUCUGAUUAAAAUACUUAUUUGCAUAUGCAAAACUGACUAACUGAGAAUCCCCUCAUUUCUAGUCCUUUCAGCAAUAUCUUUUUGGCCCAACGGCCCUAUGCAGUAAAUUAAUAAGAAAAAUAGGGCUUUGUACAGCUGGCCACAUCUGAAAAUGUGAAGUUUACCUUAAAAUUAACAGCAGUGUUCCAAGACAAUUUGUUAUUUUCUGCAGUUCUAUCAUUUGCCGUGUUACAUCUAAAAACUCACUAGCAACCAGGAAAUUAAUUGAAUAACUAAAUCAAUGUACUCAAUACAAAAAUAACCUAGCCUCACAAUUAGUCUGGUCUCUGGGUGCUAGGGCACUGUCCUAAGGAACCAGGUUGUUGUAAAAGUUCCAGGUUAUUGAAAGACACAACAGAAAGGCACACCAUUAAAAGAAAACAGUAAAUAAAGAAGAGACAAGUUUGCUUAGAUUAUGUCUGCUUAAAAGUUACAGAAAAGGCCAUUUAUAGGUGAAUGCCUCCUUAAAAACGUGUUCUUGGAGGAACUCUGUGCGUCCAUCUUUGUGUGUAUCUUUCUUAUUAUUGGUGGCAGUUUGGUUGAAUGUAUGCUUUUAUGUCCUAUUGUCUGAGUACAGUAUAAAUAUUGUGAUAAUUCUGGCAGAGACAUCAGAGCAGAUAUAAUUUUUUUGCGUCUUCAAAUUUGCUGUAAUAAGUGAUGAAAGAUAUUCCCACACCAAAAAAUUAAGCAUUGAGCCUUUUUAGUCCUUUACCGUUUUGUGAUCUUUUCAGCCCCCACGGAUUUUUUUUUAAUUAUUUAGCAUCCUUUGCUGUUUUUGGCAUGAUGUGUCUGCCAUACUGUAGAUUCAUUACCAAGACUAUAUCAAUGUCAUCUCACGGCUGGCAUUUUGCAACUGACUAAACAGAAACAGCCAUUUAUUUUGUCAACACAUACAGAAAUGGAACAAAUAAUUUGAAUAAUGAAACAAGGAAACAGAUAUUUCAAUUCAUCAAGGAAUAUUCACCCAAAUGAAGAGUAGACCUUCACUAAGAGCUUGUACUGAGAAUUAUCUAUGGUUACAUGCAACAGUGACCCUAACUGUUCCACCUAUAUUUGCCAUCAUCUCCCACCAUCUAAUGGAUAUUAAGAGAUGCUAGGUGAUAUGUUCCACAACAUGAGGUCUGGUUGUUUUGUUUGAUGAUAUUACAAUUUUUUAUGGAUUUUUUUAGUUUUAGAAAAGCAAGCCAAGUCAGUUUUCUCUCUAAUUUGUACAAGGUGAUGAUGGAAACACUGGCUUUCGAUUGGACGAGGAACCAGUGCGUAUGACCAAAAGCCUGAUUGUCUCUAAAUGCACAUGACCAAAGAUGCCUUUUAAAUGGUAUAGACUAGAAUUGUGUACAAAAACAGUGUCUAGGGUCAGGAAGUUGAAGAGAAUAACAUGGCUAAAAAUAUGUUUUGACUCUACACAGAGUGAUUUAAUUAAGGUGCAGGGUACUAGCUCUGUCUACAUAUUGAUUCCCAAAAGACUGACAAAAUAUGAUGUUGAUAUCCUUAUGGGAGUUUCCACCUGAUCCCUCCUGCGUUAUCCUACAGGUCAAUGCCAUCGAAAAAAGGCUUGAAUUGUUUGCAGCAAAAAGAGUUUCAAGCUCCACCUACAGUGGUUUUAUUCCUUAAAGAGCUCGGUGGUGUAUAGUGGGAGUAUUGAUUGGCAUAUACCGUAUGUACAUUGUGUGUGAGGCUAAUUGUACUGUGUUUCAUUUCCAUUAAAUAGUCCCUUCCAAUAAGAAACACAUAAGAGAAUGUGAAACUUUAUUCACUGUUUGUAGUCUCACCAAUUGAAAUAAAACUGGUCAUACUUUGGUGGCCGAACCAA